AUGUUUGAGUACGAAGACAUGAUCGAGUUUGAACAAAAAUUUGACCUCAUGAGAGAAAAGGUGAGCAAACAAACUUGGUUGGAUAGUAUAUACAAGGUGAAAGAAAAAUGGGUUGAAUGUUAUAUGAAGGAUGUCUUCACAUUAGGAAUGAGAAGUACACAAUUGAGUGAGAGUUUGAACAAUGACUUGAAAAUCCAUUUCAAAUCUGAUUUUGAUAUCAUUCGGUUCUUUAAGCAUUUUGAAAGGGUGGUGCAAGGAAAAAGGAAUAAUGAGCUGGACUCAGAAUUUGAUUCUAGGAAGAAGUUGCCUAAACUAUGUAUGAGGAGACCACCACCAAUGUUGGUGCAAGCUAGCAAGCUAUAUACACAUGUUAUAUUUGAAGCUUUUCAAGGUGAAUUUGAAAGAUCCUUGGCAGCUUGCACAAAGGCUUUGGUUGGUAAUGAUGAAUAUCUAGUAGGAGUAUAG
rnacentral:rRNA from 1 species